rnacentral:lncRNA from 1 species
UAUCAUUUUUCUCUUCUCCUCCACCGAAAAUGGCAGAAAAUAAAAGGGUUUUGAAGCUCUGAAAUAUCAGCCACUUACAUCCAUUGCUAGUAAGUGAUUUUUAAUGUCUUUCUUGAUGAUUUUUACAUUUUUGGAACCCCUAAAGCAUGAGCUUUCAUAUGAGGGGUCUAUUUUGCAAAAUGAUGAAGAGUCUAGGGUUUUGCCAUGAGAGUAAAUGUGUUGUUUGCUGUGUUUUUUAUGGAAGAUUAUGAGUCCUAGUUGUCUAAUAAACAAUUUUUGUGAAAGAAAUUGCAUGACAACACCUUAAAAAGUGCUAGAUUGCUAAGUUAUAAAAUGAGUUGUAAAUGUGUGAAAUAGUUGAAAUUAUGAGUUGCUAUAGUUAUGAAAAUGGUUCAUCUAGACUCAAGGAGUAAAGAAAUGUGAUAAAAAUUAUUUUACGAGCCUAGGGGUAAUUUGGUAAUUUUGGCAAAAUAUAGGGGCAAAAUUGUAAAAAUUGCUCAAGUGUGUCAAUGGACUAAUUUGAUCAGUACAUUAUUUUAAUAAGUUGAAUGUGAUAUUUUAGAUAAUGAAAAUCGAGAUUUGGACCUAGAACUGAAAGAAAUCGAUUAAGGGAUAAUUACGUCUUUUUUUACCUUUAUGGUAUCAAGGUAAGUUCAUAUGUAAAUGUUGGUAACAUAGUUAUUAUUUUAAAUGUUUUGAUGUUAUUUAAAUGAUAUGAUAAUUAUUAUGAGAUAUUAUACUUGUGAUAAUUGUUUGAUAAUAUGUCAAAUUAUAUGAAUACUUGGAAAAUGUGAAAUACUACCGAGUAUUGGUAUCGGCAUUCCGUAGAAGAUGGUUGAGACACAUGAUUGGGAAAAAGGUCCCGUUGAACCUUAGGAAUAGAUUAGGAUACAAGUGACAUGUCACUGGAAUAUUUGGGCAUCCGAGCUUGUUGAGUUGAGUCCGAGUUCACUUAUGGAUGCGAAUGUUCGAACUCGUUGAGUUGAGUUGAGUCCGAGUUCGUGAGAUGUAACUAGGCAUCCGAGCUCGUUGAGUUGAGUCCGAGUUCACUUAUGGAUGCGAACGCCCGAGCUCGUUGAGUUGAGUCUGAGUUCACUUAUGGGCGGGUUACAUGGUAGCUUGGCUACAUAUGUGGCACUUAUGUGCAAACUUUCCAUGUAUCCGAAUUAUAUUCCGAUGUGUUCAACGGGUAAAAUUCUACUCAAAUGGAGGAAUACUCGAGAUGAAAGGGACGUAUUGGUAAAUGCUGUGAAAUGGAUACUUUGAAUAGGUAUGUACUUAACCCUCGGGUUGAAAACUCGACAUAACAACAAUAUGGUAAGAUGGUAAAUGAAAAUGUGAUAUGAAUGUCUCGGUGAUGAUUAUACAAACGAUGUUGUAUUAAUUUUGUGAACAAUGAUCAUGAAUGAGUAAUUUAGCCUUGACAGAUUUGAGUUACUGCAGUAGUGUAACUUUGAAAAUACACUAAAAAUAGUGGAAAAUGAGUUAGAGGCAGAAUAAAAUAUGGGAUUAAAGCUUAAUGAGUCUAUUUUCACAUGAAAGAAACAGGGGAAGAAAAAGAAUUCCAUAUUGUGUGAUAUUUGAAUUCUUGUGAAAUAGGGUCUGAAUGAAUUCGAGAUCCCCUAUUCUGACUUUAGAAAUUCACCAAAAAUUGUAAAAAAAUUAUUAAGAGUCAUACCUUACAUUCAUGGAUUCCUUAUUGAGUUUAUUUUUAGGGGAAAUAAACGGCAUGGUCGUUGGAAUUUUUUACAGGGAGAAAUUUGGUUUGUAGUGCACAGGGGUCAGAGUGGUCAUACCCUGAAACAGGGGAGACUUUAACUAAUAAACUGUACUAAUUGGCCCAACCAAAAAUUCUAUAAAAAAAUUAUUAAGUAGACAUAUGAGUCUAGUUUCAAGAUAAAUAUACGAGAACAUUAUUCAAGUCUUGUACUAUGAGAUAAUUGAACUUUAGUACAGAAGGGUCAGAACUGUCAGACAGUGAAUCAGGGGUAACUUUGAGGAAUAAACUGUACUAUUUGGCUUAACAAAAAAUUCUAAAAAUUUUAUGAAAGAAAGGAAAAUAAGUCUAGUUUCAGGGAAAAUUAACAGAACUUAAUUUGAAGUUUUGUAGCUCCAGAUAUAAAUAAUUUAGUGACCAUUGCUCAGAAAGACAGCUUGUAGUGAACUUGAGAAUAUGUUGUAAACAUUGAUAAAACAAGUUAAUGAGUGCUUAUUGUUUUCAUAUGAACUUACUAAGCGAAAGCUUGCCCCCCCCUCUUCUUUCCCAUGUUUUCUAGAGUUUCCAGGUUAGCUCGGGUUGGAGGCCGUCAGAGAUAUUAUCACACUGUCAAGCUAACGCUAUUGGUGUAGUGAUUUUAAGUACUUUGAGCCUAUGGCAUGUAUAGGAGUUUAAAUAUUAGAGUAUGUGAUAUGGCUUUAACCAUGUGUGUUGGCCUAUUUUGAUUAUAGGGUUGUAAAUCUAUUUUAAUUAUGCAUGCAUGUGCUAUGGUAUUAUGUGAUGAGUUUAUAAUGAUUAUAGUAUGAAUGUGCUAAAGAUGUGAGUAAAAUCUAUGAUAUCUAUUGCAUGUGAAAUUGCCAUAAUCAUGACAUGUUAGGAAUGUUUAAGUACCUAAUUUUGCCAUGUUGUAUGUUAUUGUAUAAGUAUGCG